UACCGCACUGAUAUAGGAUAUAGGAUUCGAAGCUUCUCGAAGAAUGAUAUAGACACUCCAUACCCUACUCUGACCCAAUAUGUGCACGGCGUACGGAACGGUAACAUAUCUAUUCAAAUAUCUGAGCUUGGGUAUACGGGGAAACACAACCCCUUAGGAAGGUGGGUUAUAUGGUUAAAUUGAUCGGG
rnacentral:ribozyme from 1 species